AUAGCUAGCAGCCCGCAACACGUGGCUUAGUUUCUUCCCGUCUCUAUGGUUGGACCUGUCCACACGCUAGAGGACCCAGAAAGCAUAGCCAAUGAGCCGGCUGCUCUUGUGCACGUGACAAGAGAUCUGGCUUCCAAUUAGUCAACAUCACAAAAGCCCGCCCAGCAACUUCCGGAAGCCUGCUUUAAGUGAAGGCCGCAGACGCGUCUUGUCCUCUUGGCGCCGGGGACCCCUGUGAGAUCUUCCCUGCGGAGCGCCGCAGACAGCGUGGACUUCUCCAUCCUUUCCCCAGAUCUCCGAAUAAAGUUGUUCUGACGGUA